AAAGAAUGAGAAGGCAGGUCCUCCGGGAGCUGGCACGGCAGACAAUGUGUGUCUUGUGUGAGUAAUUUAGCGCUGUGGCCAGUCAAUCUGGUUUCUGGGCCCGCUGCCCUGACCCUCUUUAGAGCUGCUUGCUCUCGCCGACACAGUGUGAAACAUUUUCUUUCACUGCGCUGACACUCCGCAGAUUGAGACGUCAGCCUGGUCCAACUGCAGCAAAUUAGCAAUUUUUCUUUUGCUAAUUGGAAAUAAAAAUGUUUGCCGAGGGAGCCGUUUGUCGGCAUGCGGUUUUCGGUUUCUGUGCACCGUGAGGCUGUGUUGAAAAUGCAUCCUGAGGUACUGCCCACCCUGGGGUGCCCCUCACCACAAAUCCUAAAGGCCCUCCUCGCGGCAGUGUGCAGAACACGCCUCUCCCCUGCAGCUCUCCGCUCAGCCCGGCACUGGACGCGAGGACCCCUCCUUUGGGAGAGCUGGGCCCCAGGCUGUGAACUUUCGGAAAGCCAUUGGGAUUGGCAGGUGGCAAAACUGUCUAGGGUGAGCUGUGAGAAAGCUCUUUGCAGGGAAGAGGGAGAACACGUCUCCAAAAAUGCCAGCUGGGUUACGGGAUUUCUGAGCAAGCGUGGUUCGGGUUGUCCACCUUGUCCGCUGAGCGUGCACCUGGGGGAGGAGCGUCCUGAGGCCUGGCCUCCAGGGCACAUCUGAUUUCAGCCACCCCUCGCUGCCAAGAGUAGAAAAGACCCCAGCUCGUGGGUAGAAGGUGGCAGAGGCACCUGCCAGUGUGGAUAAGGGGAGGAAGCAUCUUCUGCUAAUUGGAACAAAGAAAGAAAGAGCCAGAAGGAAGGCAGAGAACAUCCCUUUCUAAGGAAGGGCCUUGAGAUCAGGUGUAGCCAUUCAAAACUUGGUGAAGAGACAGGCCCCACCGAUGCCCACCUGUGCGGGCGGGCACAUCUGUGUGCACGUGUGCGUAUGUGUGCCUUGGAGUGGGUGGGUGUGCCCAAGUGUGUCAUGGCCUGUUCCCGCACACCGAGGUGGCCCCGGCUGCCCCCUGGGGAUACCUGGGGAAGCUGGGGCUGCUGGCCAGCACCUAACGGGUUACUGCCCUCCCCCCUUCUCCGAUAAAGCAUUUGACAGCCAUGCCUAAUAAUUCUUUCUGCUGGGUUUUUUCUUGAUGUCUUUAUGUGAAUAUGAAGCCGGAAUGAAAGGCUUUGGGGGACCCCCAUGAGAGAGGAGAAGUACGAACCAGAGAGGAAGAAAGAGCCCUGCGGCUCCCUGCCGAGAGCCAGGCACCUCCUCUGGCCGUCACGCCAGGCUGCAGAGGCCCUUUGGGGAAGAGCGCGCGUCCCAGCCAGCCCAAAAUGAAACUCGCAGGGCCUCAAGGAAAACUGGGCUGAGUUUCUCAAGAGCUCUCCCGUGUUGAAAAAAAAGAUCUACCGGGAUGCACGGCACGGGGACCUGGCCCCAGGAAGAGCAGGGCCGUGAGUGAAAACGCUGCUUCUGGACAGCGUGCACUCAGCCACAGUGGCUGGGAGAACCCCUCACCCUCGCCGUAGACUUAGGCCAGCGCACUCAGCAUGGCUGCCAAGCUCGACAGAGGCCAGUUUAUGCUCCCAGGCACUCUUGAGAUCCACUUUCAUCUGGAAUAAGGAGCAGAAAGGAGCGGUUUUCCUCUUGAGUUCUGACCUGGCCCAAACCAGAGAAGCCAUAAAUCCAACCAGGAGGGCUGUUCCCAUGAGAUCCCUGCUCCCAUUCCAGACCAAAUAAGCCGAGAAGAGCUGGGGGGCAGCCCAGCAGCUGCUGCAGCGUCUUCUGAACUGACAGCCUGCAAGCUGCCGUGCGCCCACUGCUGUGGCCGCCCCAUCCCCAGCGCUAACCCAGGCUAAGGAGCUGGACGCCAGCCGCCCAGGAAUGGAUUCUGGGUCACUUCCAGGGAAGAGAAAUCACUGCCGAUCAACUCACACACGGGCGAAUGCCCGUUUCACGGUGAAAGGUGUGUGAGGAGAAGGCCACCCGGGGCUUUUUAUCCUGUUUGGGAAUGAGCUUUGGUCACGGAGCCCUGGAGGAAAACACCACACAGAAAGCGUGCUUCUAUCCACACAGAGGGUGCCGUUUCCCCUGCUGCCCUGCAACAUUUGGACAUGGAACAGUGCUAGGCUACGAGUUAAUUCACAGAGGAACUGCCGCAAUCCCAGUGGGUGGCUUCAGGCUGUCAGAGACAGUGGUGGCCCAGGGAGGGACCAGGAGCCUGGGAGGCUGAGGAAGACAGAGGUGCGGACAGUGGGCACCUGAACUCUAUGGCAGUCACGGAUGACUGGCUACAGGAACCUGUCCCCUCCAGUUCCAUGCUGAUGGCCACAGCCACAGCCCCGCCCUCUGCAAUAUCAAGAAUGGUUUCAGCAUCUCCAGUCUCAGGCAUGGGCCUAGACUCUCUGAUUUCGUGAGGCCAACCACAGCCUCCGGACAGUGUGGCUCCUGACUCCUGCCCCAGGUUUGGGGAGACUCUGGGAUGCCCAGCUCCAGCCUGCUAGGAUGCCCACCUCAGCCUUCUAUGGCAGGUCAUUGAGUGUGCCCAGCUGUGAUGUGACAACUAGGCCUGGUUCGGCGGGGGACAGCCACCGGGGGCAUCUGAAACCCACCAACCCACCAGACCUGGGUGGGGAUGUGUCUGGGUGUGUCUCCCCACGCAGGCCAUAUUGGGGAAGGCUCUUGGAUUCUCCUUCCCUGGUGGGCUCAGGGGCCUGCAGGAGCAUGCAUGCUCUGUGGGUCUCCUCUCUGUGGAGGCCCCUCUGGCUUCCCAGCCCCGUGGCAUGGAUGUCACUGGAGUGACAGCACUGUGACAACCCACUGUACUUUCUGCGGGUUGGACGCUUCUUGAACAUGGCUGGUUCAGCAUCUCGGGGGCCUGGACACUGCCUCGUCAGCACAAAUCUCUCCCCAGCUCCUUGCUGGGAUAUGUGGAAACAUUUUUCCCAUGGAAAGAGAGUGUGGCCUUUGUCAGGGGGCCACGGCCAGCCCGAAUUACAGUAAAGAUUAAUCCCAAACAAGAGACAGAGACAGAGACAAAGAGCAUCAUACACUUGGGUUUUCAAUGGAUGUUUUCAUAAAUGUAUGAAUAAUUUAAAUUAUCAUUGCCGAGUAUUUAUUCGAGUGUUUCAGGGGGAAAAAUGCCUCCUCUUUUUUCUCCCUUGAUUCUUUUCAUUUUUGCCUCAUCUCUUUUAUGUGCUGCAUAGGCUGUUUUCUUGCCAUCUGAAUCGGCCCCGGGAACAAUGGGAUGUAUGAGGCUGAGGAGCCGGGGAAGAAUGCGCCCCUUGUUGCCGACGCCGCGCCUUGACAUUGAUUAAUGAGGGUGCGGACACGGGCAGAAUUUGUGAGAGCUGAGGGGAAACCAGA
rnacentral:lncRNA from 1 species